rnacentral:rRNA from 1 species
GAUGAACGCUGGCGGCGUGCCUAACACAUGCAAGUCGAACGAAGCGUCUUAAAGGAAGUUUUCGGAUGGAAUUUGGGAUGACUGAGUGGCGGACGGGUGAGUAACGCGUGGAUAACCUGCCUCAUACAGGGGGAUAACAGCUAGAAAUGGCUGCUAAUACCGCAUAAGCGCACAGUGCCGCAUGGCAGUGUGUGAAAAACUCCGGUGGUAUGAGAUGGAUCCGCGUCUGAUUAGCCAGUUGGCGGGGUAACGGCCCACCAAAGCGACGAUCAGUAGCCGGACUGAGAGGUUGAACGGCCACAUUGGGACUGAGACACGGCCCAG